rnacentral:tRNA from 1 species
GACUCCGUAGCUUAACCGGCAGAGCGAUUGAUUCUCAUCAGGCAUCAAUAGGGCGGCAGUUCGAACCUGUCCGGAGUCG